AUCAGCCCCCAAAUGUAGUCUCCCAUCAUGUUCUCGUUAUACUGUCCUUGGUAGCGGCGUUCAAAGUCCAGUAUAUCCUGGUGGAAGCGCUCGCCUUGCUCCUCCGAGUACGCUCCCAUGUUCUCCUUGAAUUUAUCAAGAUGAGCAUCAAGGAUAUGGACUUUGAGGGACAUCCUACAGCCCAUUGUGCCGUAGUUCUUCACCAGAGUCUCAACCAGCUCCACAUAGUUUUCGGCCUUGUGAUUGCCCAGGAAACCCCGAACCACUGCGACAAAGCUGUUCCAAGCCGCUUUCUCCUUACUAGUGAGCUUCUUGGGGAAUUCAUUGCACUCCAGGGUCUUCUUUAUCUGUGGUCCGACGAAGACACAGGCUUUGACCUUUGUCUCAGACAGCUUAGGGAAGAAGUCUUGAAGGUACUUGAAGGCUGCCGACUUCUUAUUAGAGCUCUGACAAAUUGUUUCAUAAGGCCCAAUUUGAUGUGCAGUGGUGGCAUCAGCACUUUCCGGGGGUCCCAGCCAUACUCAUCAUACUCCAAGGCGUCCAGCAAGGUCUUGAUGCUGUUGUAAUCCUCUUUGAGAUGCACCGAGUGAGCCAGGGGAAGAGACGGGUACUUGUUACCAUUAUGGAGCAGCACGGCUUUGAGGCUCGUGGAUGAACUGUCAACGAAGGACAGUAUAACGAGAACAUGAUGGGAGACUACAUUUGGGGGCUGAUUCGUGAAAGUGAUUUACAGUAUAAUCGUAAAUCUCGAAAAACUACUCACUUCUAAUACUUUUGUAGUCAUUUUUGUAUUACUUUAGUAUAAAUACAUGUUAAUUUGGAUUCAUAUGUUGUUUUUUUCUGACUUUAUGUGAACGAAAAGACACAAAUUUGCCCGUUUUCUCAUUGGAAAUAGGUAAAUUUCAAAAUAUCACUGUCCUGGUCACAAAAGCAAAGUUUGUGGGGAAUAAUAGCCAUUUUCUAUACUUUUGAGGCAUAAGCAAUUAGGAAAUAACACUUACUACUCAGGAACAAAAAUUGUGUUACAUAGUGUAAUUACAAGAAGAAAAAAAGGUUCUGUGGGAGUCCUUUGGGGAAUCUUUACAGUGCGGUGCUACUUUUAAAUCCUGGCUGUGAAACAUAUGUGAUGGCAAUGUGACUAGUUUUGGGAUCUUGGACGCUUUUGUUUAAGGGUUUAUUGCUCUUUGCAAUAUGUAAAAUCUGAAACUCUAGGUGCCAGCACUGUAAAAGCCAGCUUAUAAUAUAGAACUACAGUAGGAGCAGUGGAAAGUCUCUUUAUGUUCUUCUAUAGGGGCUGGUGUUGGUUAUAGGGAUGGAGAACCACCAUGGAAAAAACACCACCCCAGCUCCUCCGUUUCAUCUAUUGAAUCACAAAUUCUAUUGAGUGAAUGUCUAAAAUAGUUUCUUUUGUGCCUGUUUGAACCAAAACGCUGGCAUGUUAAUUGACAACGAAAUACAACAUGUGAGUUCAUAUAUUUUACCAGAUUAAAAUCUAUUAUCAGGUUUAAAGGUUAUACAAAAAGAAAACGGUUAUAUCUUUCAUAAACAUUUUGCUAGAUGACAAGGUAAUCAUUUUAUUAUAACAUUACUUUUUUAAAGAGAAAAUUUUGUGUUCUUUAAUAGAAAGCAUUAACCUCCUGAAUGGAAAGGGCAGUUUCAAUAUCUGAAAAUGUACUUGUUUCUUUCCAUGCUGGCUAUGAAGCUAUUUCGACCCUGCUAGAAAGCUUUCUUGAUAUUUGUUAUUGUAUAAUGCCAACCGUUCCACAGGAAAGGACACCAUGACGCAUGGCCAGUCUGUAACAGAACAUUUUACUUAUUAAAUGCAGUUGUUAACCCUUGCAAAACCCACUGCUUUCAGGGUUAACCAGACUACUCAAUGAAUCACAGCUAGAAACUUGUAUCCUCAUGAUGGCAUCUUUCCUUUGAAAUGCAGUACGGCACAGCAACAUACAACCUUGUAGUGGGUGAAGUAAGCAAGCAUGCUGACAUGCUCUGACAUGCAGAAGUGGACCCAGAAGGAGACAAAGUGGAUUGAGAAAGGGGGUCUCAAGAUUCAGGGGAAGAGAAAUGGAUGUUUAUCAUGGAAAGCUACCCCUUUAGAGGAAGGGCAGCCGUUAGGAUCAAGGACAGGUGGAGGAACAUGAAAAUGCUUAAGAUGUACAUUACAUAGGAAUGUAUAAAAUUACAGAUACAGCAUACAUUUGAUAGGUCACUUAAACCUAACAUUUCUAUCUCAUAUAUGACUAAUGAUUACCAAAUGUGAUUUCCAAGACCAUUGAAAAUACAUUCCUUGUGUUGCUUGGUUCAUAUAUUUUCAGACACUUUCAGGGUACAAUUUGCUAUCCUACCUGUCAUAUUGAAACACAACACUGGAACAUGAAUUGACUGGAAUAUAGACACAGAUGAUAACUGAUGGAGAUUGCUGGUGAUGACCAAUCGUAUUUAAACUUACGAUCUCGCAGUAUAGAAAUGAGCUCUUGAAGUACUACCAUCCAACAAACUGUACACCUUAUAUUGAUUACAUUGAUUGCAUUUUCCUAUCAAUUUCAUUGCCUGCCUUUGCCAAAUUAGUUCACUAUGGGAGGGGAUUUCAACCUUUUUUUGAAACUGUACCCCUUCUGUCGGGAGGUUUCAGCUAAAGUACCCUUUACAAUUUUUGCUCACUGAAUGAUACCACAAUUGCAAUAAAAGACAGAAUAAUCUGAUUAACACAUUUUUUCCAGUUUAUUUAAUAUAUCAUUUUUCAAAACAGUCUGGGGCUGACAAACUGCAGGUUUAAGAUAGAAUACCUAACAGUAGCUUAAUUCUUAAAACUUAAUUCAAUGUCUUUGGAUGCACAGAAUUAAAAGACAGUAUUUAGGAAUCUCUUUGGAAACACUUGUAUUCGCUUCAUUUUUGCCAUGCAAUUAAGAAAUGCAUCCAUCUCAAACACCGACAAUAUAAUCAACCAUCCGCUAUUGCUGUUACUAAAAUGCAUCCGCGGUAAUAAAUAAAACAAAAACCGUCAAUGAAUGAGUAUUGUGAUUAGCCUACUAUUUAUGUUUAAAAAAAGCAGAAAUACUGUGCUUCACUAAUACAAUUUGAAAACAGCAAAAAUCACGAGCAGCACAGAGUGCUGUCCAUAGGCACAAUCGGCAGACACCUCGCAGAGGUGGAAAAUGUGGAUGUGAUAGAUUUUGUGUAUUUGUUUUCAUCUGCAGUUUACUUUGAGCUGCUAAACAAACAUUAAAUAAUUAUACACAGUAUUUUAGAGAGUGUAUACUACCGCUAAAAAAUAAUUAUUUUCUUUUAAUUUGUGCAUUUCUGUCCUGCGUACCCCCUAUGACCCUUAGAAGUACCCCCAGGGGUACGCAUACCCCCGUUGGAAACCCCUGCUCCAUGGCAACCAAAACAUAGCAAAGAGAUGGAAGUGCAUCAUCGCAAGUGCUCAAAUGAUAAAUGAAUUAUGCGAAUACAUCUAUUCAUUUGAAAUGAGAGGUUUGGGUCUGCUUUCUGUAUGGUUUGAUAUUGAACACAGCAGCUGUCACACUGCAGCAGACACAUAUCCAGGGCUUUGCCUUUAUUAGGGUCUGUUAGCUUUGUGUGUGAAAUUAAACUGAAAAGAAAAUAGAAGAUAAUUGCAAGUGAGGUUCACAGUACAUUCCUGUCAGCAACUCCAGUGGCUCUUAAAUUACUUUUCUGACUAAGAGUCUGAAUAUUUGAUGGAUAGCUUAUAAAAGAAGCUCGGUCUAAUUCCUCAAGUCAGAACACAUUUAGAAACAAGAAUAUAGAAUGAAAGCGACAGAUAGCUUUUUGCUCCAGUCUGUAAUUUACAAAUCCAGAAAACAGAACAUUUCUUUCAGUGAGGUUUUGUGGAUAUCUGGUAUUGUAUCUGGUGGUAUUGUACAUACCCUGAUUGUUGACUAUGGUACCAAAAUAGUAACAAACAGCUCUGUGGCUUAAAAAUAAAAAUGUCAUUGUUGAAAGUUGUUAACCAUAUGUGAUUGAAGAUUUUGUGAUUCCACUGUUGGUCAAAAACAACUAAAUAUAUGGAUUGCUGUCAGACUUUCAGGCAUCUUACAUGAACUUCAGUCCUCUGAGUUCCAGUAAAAAGGGAUUUUGCUCUAAAUCUGUAAUUUACACCAAGUGGGAUUGCAUUUAUCUUCGCAUGUCUUGCUUCAAAUGACUUUGCACCAGGUUAUAUACUUAGACUCCAGCCACUCACAGCCACAGCUUACAGGUACGUACGUAAUCAUUUAGUGAUGUGAUUUAAAAUACAUUUCAAUGUCAUUCUAAAAGACAUUAUCUAAAAUAUAUUAACAGCAGUAAUAAUAACACAGGGUGCAUUUGAGGUGAUUCAUUAUUCAGGUACACAUCUUAUCUGGACCGCUGCCUACAAGUAUCACAGCUUUUAAAAACAACAAAAUAAUAAAAUAAUAAAAAUCAAAUGCUUUUUAUAUUUUGUUGGAUCCAACAGGUUUUUACUGGUCAUGUUUCUUGACACGUAAGUGUGAUAGUAAGUAUAAACCAGGAGUGCAAUAACACAUCUCCCCCAUCCCCCAACACACAUUUGUAGCUUUCUAAAUUACGAACCCAUGAACUCCAGUCUCCAGUAAUGCUGUAAUUACAGGAUAACAAAUCAGAAAUGACAAAUGUGUCCUCUUACAUGAGAUGCCAGCUCACCUGGGAUACCAUUAAAGAUCAAGAUAUACAUUUCUCUUUGCUGCAGAUGAAUCCAGCAGCCAUGUGAAUUCCCAAUGUGUCUUGUAGGAAGUAAACAGGGUUGAACAAGGAUUGUUGUUCUAUUUCAGCUUCGAAAAUGCUAAAAAAAAAAAAAAAAAAGAAAAAGAAAAAGAAAAAAUCCUGUACCAAAAAUCCCACUUGCACUCUUCAGGUUUCAAGGGAAAAAGGUUCCUUCCUCAGCAGAAAGGAUACAACACCCUUUCAGUAACACUAAAAGCGUCUAAAAUAAGGUAGAUUACACAAUAACCAGAGAAAGGAAUAUUUGCUUUACUAAAAUGACUGCAUUUAAGUAACCCAGCUUUAAGUGUUUAUUGUCAUUUGCACAAUUAACGUGUACUAUUAUACUAUUAUAAUUACCAUAAACAAAACAAUUUGUACUGUAGCUCCUGUUUAUAGCUGCCAGCGAAAGACUUGGAACAGAUUAUUUGUUUGUGAUGUCAACAUAUUUGGUGCAUCUGUAACUGUUUUGACCUUGAAAUCGACCAAACAGCUCUAAAUGAAACACCAGGCUCUUCAUAUGGGUUUGGAGUGUGUUCAGUCAUGGCAGAGAAAUCAAACUAAAUAACGAUUUUAUAAAUGUAUUAGCAUAUAUAAACUGUACCCCCGGGUUAUUUCUAAUGUCUUUUAGUGCGAUUAAGAAAAAACAAUAAGAAAUAGUUACAAAUAAAUCCGAAAAACAUUUUAUAAAUGAGUUAGUAUUUAAUUUUAGAGGUAUGUCAUGGGGUUUGACACUCAAGCGGAAACGAGCAAUGUGCAUCAUUAAUUAAAUGUUCUACAUGCUCAAAAAGAUUUCAGUAUGUUUUUUGCAAUAAUAAAUGACAAAUAAUGAGCAGACUGUUUCACAGCAUGGUGACAUACUCUUUUUUAAAAAAAAAUUUAGAAGGCUAUUAUGCCCUGCAAUUUUCUGAAUUUAAUUAGAACGACUUAAUUCCAGAGAGAUUGAAAUUCAGAUAGGAAUUCUAAUGAUUUGCAAUCAGUAAACAUAUGUAUGCAUCUACACUAUGUUACUGCAAAGCUUAUCUACCUUUAAAGACACGGUGCAGCCCUCUUCAGAGUCUGUUUACUGUAUAAGAAUCUGUAGUUUGUAGAAUAUAACAUGUAUGAUUGAGAAGCCUUGUGUUACAUCCCCUGUAUGAUGCACGCCUCUUGUGUACCUUAUCAAAAUCAUAAUAGCAUACCACAUUGUACCCUGGGUAUAUUGCGUACCUUAUAUAUUGUACAACCCUGUAUUUAAAUGAAUGUGCUUCAU